rnacentral:rRNA from 1 species
AUUGAACGCUGGCGGCAGGCUUAACACAUGCAAGUCGAGCGGAGAUGAGGUGCUUGCACCUUAUCUUAGCGGCGGACGGGUGAGUAAUGCUUAGGAAUCUGCCUAUUAGUGGGGGACAACAUUCCGAAAGGAAUGCUAAUACCGCAUACGUCCUACGGGAGAAAGCAGGGGAUCUUCGGACCUUGCGCUAAUAGAUGAGCCUAAGUCGGAUUAGCUAGUUGGUGGGGUAAAGGCCUACCAAGGCGACGAUCUGUAGCGGGUCUGAGAGGAUGAUCCGCCACACUGGGACUGCGACACUGCCCAGACUCCUACGGGAGGCAGCAGUGGGGAAUAUUGGACAAUGGGGGGAACCCUGAUCCAGCCAUGCCGCGUGUGUGAAGAAGGCCUUAUGGUUGUAAAGCACUUUAAGCGAGGAGGAGGCUACUGAGACUAAUACUCUUGGAUAGUGGACGUUACUCGCAGAAUAAGCACCGGCUAACUCUGUGCCAGCCGCCGCAGUAA